rnacentral:rRNA from 1 species
GAUGAACGCUGGCGGCGUGCCUAAUACAUGCAAGUCGAGCGAACAGACGAGGCGCUUGCUCCUCUCUCGUUAGCGGCAGACGUGUGAGUAACACGUGGAUAACCUCCCUAUAAGUCUGGGAUCACUUCGGGAAACCGGAGAUAAUCCCGGAGAAUAUCUUGAUCCGCGUUGUUCGAUGGUGAAAUUCGGUUUUGCUGUCAGUUAUAGCUGCAUCCGGGCCGCAUGAGCUAGUUGGUAAGGUAACGGCUUACCAAGGGAACGAUGCGUAGCCGACCUGAGAGGGUGAUCGGCCACCCUGGAACGGAGACACGGUCCAGACGCCUACGGGAGGCAGCAGUAGGGAAUCUUCCGCAAUGGGCGAAAGCCUGACGGAGCAACGCCGCGUGAGUGAUGAAGGUCUUCGGAUCGUAAAACUCUGUUAUUAGGGAAGAACAAAUGUGUAAGUAACUAUGCACGUCUUGACGGUACCUGAUCAGAAAGCCACGGCUAACUACGUG